rnacentral:rRNA from 1 species
AAUAACGCUGGCGGCGUGCCUAACACAUGCAAGUCGAACGCCCUACGCAAGUAGGGAGUGGCGGACGGGUGAGCAACACGUGGAUGAUCUACCUUGAGGUGAGGAAUACCGGCGAGAAAUCGCCGACAAUACCGCAUAUGCUCGCGUUGCGAGCAAAGUCGUGAGACGCCUUGAGAUGAGUCCGCGCCCGAUUAGCUGGUUGGUGGGGUAAGAGCCUACCAAGGCGACGAUCGGUAGCUGGUCUGAGAGGACGAUCAGCCACACUGGGAUUGAGAACGGCCCAGACUCCUACGGGGGGCAGCAGUGAGGAAUUUUCGGCAAUGGAGGCAACUCUGACGGAGCAACGCCGCGUGCAGGAGGACGCGUUUCGGCGUGUAAACUGCUUUUCUGUGGGACGAGCAAGGACGGUACCACAGGAAGAAGCCCCGGCUAACUACGUGCCAGCAGCCGCGGUAAUACGUAGGGGGCGAGCGUUGUCCGGAGUUACUGGGCGUAAAGGGCAUGCAGGCGGUCUGACGCGUUUUGUGUGACAGCGCAGGGCUCAACUCUGCGAGCAUACGAAAGACGGUUGGACUUGAGGGCUCGAGAGGGACACGGAAUUCCGGGUGGAGUGGUGAAAUGCGUAGUGAUCCGGA